UGGGGAAUAUUGGACAAUGGGGGGAACCCUGAUCCAGCCAUGCCGCGUGUGUGAAGAAGGCCUUAUGGUUGUAAAGCACUUUAAGUUGGGAGGAAGGGCAGUAAGCGAAUACCUUGCUGUUUUGACGUUACCGACAGAAUAAGCACCGGCUAACUCUGUGCCAGCAGCCGCGGUAAUACAGAGGGUGCAAGCGUUAAUCGGAAUUACUGGGCGUAAAGCGCGCGUAGGUGGUUCGUUAAGUUGAAUGUGAAAGCCCCGGGCUCAACCUGGGAACUGCAUCCAAAACUGGCGAGCUAGAGUAGGGCAGAGGGUGGUGGAAUUUCCUGUGUAGCGGUGAAAUGCGUAGAUAUAGGAAGGAGCACCAGUGGCGAAGGCGACCACCUGGGCUCAUACUGACACUGAGGUGCGAAAGCGUGGGGAGCAAACAGG
rnacentral:rRNA from 1 species